rnacentral:pre_miRNA from 2 species
CAGCAGCAAUUCAUGUUUUGAAGUGUUCUAAAUGGUUCAAAACGUGAGGCGCUGCUAU